AUCAGAAGUGCGAAUGCUGACAUAAGUAACGAUAAAGCGGGUGAAAAGCCCGCUCGCCGGAAGACCAAGGGUUCCUGUCCAACGUUAAUCGGGGCAGGGUGAGUCGACCCCUAAGGCGAGGCCGAAAGGCGUAGUCGAUGGGAAACAGGUUAAUAUUCCUGUACUUGGUGUUACUGCGAAGGGGGGACGGAGAAGGCUAUGUUAGCCGGGCGACGGUUGUCCCGGUUUAAGCAUGUAGGCUGGUUAUCCAGGCAAAUCCGGAUAAUCAA
rnacentral:rRNA from 1 species